GUCCCUAAACUAAUAAGUCCCCGGAAACAAACACCCUCUAAUCUUACGGCCUCAUUUGGCGCGAGUGGGUUGAGGGGGUUUCGAGGCGAUUUUCCUCGCGUGGGCCAGAAACCCCCAGAAACCACGUUGGCCCAUUUGGUACAGGGGGUUUGUAUGGGCCAAUCCAUGCGAAACCACGCGACUCGAAACCCUCGUCUAGCGACUCAGGGAAUCGCUCGUCCCAUCACACGCCGCCAGCGAGAGGAAGAGACGCCGCCGCCGUCACCACCGAGGGGAAGAGCCCCGCCACCGCCACCGAGGGGAAGAGCCCCGCCGGCGAGAGGAGGAGCCCCCACGCCGCCGCCCGACGCCCCGACACCACCCGACGCCCCGACGCCGCCCGACUCUGCCCAACGCCGGCGUUGCUCCUCCAGCAUACUGUCCUGUGGAGAGAAUCCAUGUUUCAAAUGUCCAUUGCCGGAGAUGUCAAGAUUCGUUAGUAGUUGAUGCAAAGGAGGAGGACUUGUUGGGUUGUGGUGACGUCCCCGACCUAAUUGAUGGAGAAGCAAUCCCUCAUCUCAAUGGUCGACAAGACAUCAGUGCAUGUCACCCAUAAUGGGCCUAUUUAGUACGUAUUGUAGGAUGUUAGCAAAGUUGGUCGAUCAACUGGCUGCUAAUUCUAUCAUCGUAGUUCAAUUCUGCAGCAAGGAUAUAAGGGUUACAUUGUAAAGAUUGGAUUUUUAAAUGUUCUACACAAUGUUAUGUCAACAUGACAAACCCUUUCUACCAAAUAGAAAUUUUAAACAAA